rnacentral:lncRNA from 1 species
CAGAGCUAUGUAGUAGGAUACACAGUCAUUUGGAGGCAAAACCUUCCUAAGCAUCCAGGGUUCCAGCAAGCAGCUAAGCGAGCAAGGUACAUAGAUCAAGCUGAACUGAGCAAUGAAGACCUGCCAUAAGAACCCAACCACGGGGGAAUUACAGCAGAUUCCUCUGUAAAGCUUGUGCUGAGAUUUGGGACAGCUGAAAGGAUGCGAGAGUUGGUGAGAGUGAAGGUUGUCAAUACUGCUGCCACAGAAACCAGAUUUUUUAAGAACGUAGUGAUUUGGGCCCAUUAUGCCUCAUUAACUCACCCAAGACUCCCUAUUAAUCUGUAAUCUUGCACUUUAGUGUUGCAGUGGGAGCUGAAAUAAAAACAAAAUUAAGAGAUAUGAUAAGAAGCCCAGAAGUUUCUAAACUGUAGUGUUAGAGUUAGGGGAACAACUGCCUUACUUUUCAGGUCACACCCACAG